GAUUAACGCUGGCGGCGUGCAUAACACAUGCAAGUCGAACGAUGAAACUUAGUCGACUUCUUCGGAAAGACAUUAAGCGGAUUAGUGGCGAACGGGUGAGUAACGCGUGGGUAACCUGCCUUACACAAGGGGAUAGCCUUUGGAAACGAAGAAUAAUACCCUAUCAAACCAUAAAAGCACAUGCUAGAAUGGUCACAGUGAUAGCGGUGUAAGAUGGACUUGCGUCUGAUUAGCUAGUUGGUGAGAUAAAAGCUCACCAAGGCAACGAUCAGUAGCCGGCUUGAGAGAGUGGACGGCCACAUUGGGACUGAGACACGGCCCAGACUCCUACGGGAGGCAGCAGUGGGGAAUUUUGCACAAUGGGGGAAACCCUGAUGCAGCGACGCCGCGUGAUUUAGAAGGCCUUCGGGUUGUAAAAAUCUUUUGUAUAGGAAGAAAAUGACAGUACUAUACGAAUAAGGGCCGGCUAAUUACGUG
rnacentral:rRNA from 1 species